rnacentral:rRNA from 1 species
AUUGAACGCUGGCGGCAUGCCUUACACAUGCAAGUCGAACGGCAGCACGGGGCAACCUGGUGGCGAGUGGCGAACGGGUGAGUAAUGCAUCGGAACGUGCCAUUGAGUGGGGGAUAACGUAGCGAAAGUUGCGCUAAUACCGCAUAUUCUGUGAGCAGGAAAGCAGGGGACCGCAAGGCCUUGCGCUCUUUGAGCGGCCGAUGUCAGAUUAGCUAGUUGGUGAGGUAACGGCUUACCAAGGCGACGAUCUGUAGCGGGUCUGAGAGGAUGAUCCGCCACACUGGAACUGAGACACGGUCCAGACUCCUACGGGAGGCAGCAGUGGGGAAUUUUGGACAAUGGGCGCAAGCCUGAUCCAGCCAUGCCGCGUGAGUGAAGAAGGCCUUCGGGUU